rnacentral:rRNA from 1 species
UACGUAGGGGGGCAAGCGUUGUCCGGAUUUAUUGGGCGUAAAGAGCGUGUAGGCGGCCUGACAGGUCUGCUGUGAAAACUCGAGCUCAACCUCGAGACGCCGAUGGAAACCCUCGAACUAGAGUCCGGAAGAGGAGAGUGGAAUUCCUGGUGUAGCGGUGAAAUGCGCAGAUAUCAGGAAGAACACCCGUGGCUAAGGCGGCUCUCUAGUACGGUACUGACGCUGAGACGCGAAAGCGUGGGGAGCGAACAGG